rnacentral:pre_miRNA from 1 species
UACAUACUCCCUCCGUCCAACAAAGGAUGUCUCAAGUUUGUCAAAAUUUGGAUGUAUCUAGACAUGACUUAGUGUAUAGAUGCAUUCAAAUUUAGUUAAAGUUGAGACAUCCUUUGUUGGACGGAGGGAGUAUUAA